rnacentral:tRNA from 1 species
GAGGGUGUAGCUCAAGUGGUAGAGCACAUGCUUAGCAUGAAGGAGGCUCUGGGUUCAAUCCCCAGUACCUCCA